GUUGUUCUUCUUCUCUUACUCACGAAUGCGAUGCAACGACGGCGCGGCGAAAAUCAACCUGCUCCGGCGAAAUCCUUCAGUUCGCCAUUUUUAUCGGAAGCAAACGCCUCUACCUCCGAUUUCGUUCUCUCGUUUCCGUCUCUCUCUCAAACUCUCGCUCUCGCUUCUCUGAUUUCACAACUCGAGCUCUCGUCUCGAUUCCAUCUCCCAAAAUCUCUUCGGCUCAAACUCUCAUCGGAUGAAGGUGGCCGAUAAUGAUGAUGAAGCGUCGUUAUUGUUGUUGCGUUACGGUACGAUGCGUGAUGUUGUUGUUGCGAUUGGUUGAAGAAGAGAAACAAAUCUAUGUUGAAUGAUUCUUGGAUGAAGAGAAGGUUGAGGUGAGAAUAUGAAGGCUAUGGUGAAUGGUGUGGUGGGGACGAAUGAAGCUGUGAAAGAUGAAGAAUCGGGUAGAGUGAUUGAAGAGAUCGAGAAGUGAAGACUUGAAUAUUUAUGGAGAUUCUCAGGUUUGAUUUUCUUCUUCUGCUUUUUCUGUUUUUUCUGGUUAGGAUGUGAAGUUGAAUGGUAGUGAAGAAUGAAUGCGAGGUGUGGAUUCUGUUACAGUUUUUUGGUUGAAGAUUGUAGAUGAAGAUGGAUGAAGAGAAGUGAAGAUGAAGGAAAGAUGGUGAUGAAGAUGAGAAGAUGUGAUGAAGAGUUGAAGAAUGAAGAUUUAGGUUGAAGUGUGAAGGAGUUCUUAGAGAGAAUUGAAGGUGAAUGAGGUUAUAUAGAGGUCUAAUGUCAGCUGAGUGUUUGGCAUAACGUGAAACUGUAGUGUUGAAUCAAAGCGGAUUUUCGUGUAAUGAAAGCUGUGACAGAUCGGGAGUGAUCAGUGAUGGUGUGGGUGAAGUCACUUGGUUCAUGAAGAUGACUUGGUGAAGUUUUAAACAGAGCUGGACUUGAAGAAUACAUGAAGAAGCACUUAGGAUUUUAGGAAACUCAUGACUUUGUAUAGACCUUUUUUUGUAUGAAUUUUUGUACUUCCAUUUCCUUUUGCUACUCUCUUGUAAUUGACUUCCCUUUUAGUUGGAAUGGAACUUUAGUUUGACUUUUGAUGAUUCACCAUGAACAUAAAUGGGCUUUUGAGCUUUUGUAAUGAACAUUUUUUGUAUCAAAUAGA